GCCCCUCCUGCUCAGUUGGUAGAACUUGAGACUCUGAAUCUCAGGUCAUGGGUUUGAGCCCCACAUUGGGCA